AGGGUAGCCAGUCUUAGAGGAAGAGUGAGACAGGAUGGGGGAGAUAAUAGCAGGCAAGGGGAGAUAACACUGGGCAGGACCUUCCACCGCUUUAGGGCCAGUCUUCAAUCCCAGUGUCCAGUCAAGUCCACCUUAGUGUGCAGUCUCACACUCUGUGACGUAACCAAACAAUCAAGUGACUAUAACCAGCUACUUUACUUUUCCAAGACAAUCUUCCUGAUACAGGCCACAUUUUAACCUUUGGUUCAUGAGUGACAUUCAACCAAGAUCUAGCCUGGCCUAGCUUGCUGUAGAUGGCUCCGGAGGGGCAGUCAAUAGUUCACAGCAGUGGAGGAAUCCAGAAAGUGCAUAUGAAAGGAUAGAUUAUCCUCUAUCUGUCACUGUGUAAACACUGAGUAUCCUGGGACCAUAUGAUCAGUCAGGAACUGUACACAAUCUCACAUAUCCAGCAAACAGAAAUCUCUCUGAUGUUUACCCCACCCAUCCCUCUACAACUGUGCAACAAUCAAGGUAAUGCUCUAAGGAUAUGGUCAAUGAUCAUUGAAAGGAUGAAUUUAAGAUUUAUAAAGGAUUACAUGCAUUCUCUUCAAUUGUGAA